CGGGAUAACACCUGGAAACAGAUGCUAAUACCGGAUAACAACAGAUGAUGCCUAUCAACUGUUUAAAAGAUGGUUCUGCUAUCACUCUUGGAUGGACCUGCGGUGCAUUAGCUAGUUGGUAGGGUAACGGCCUACCAAGGCGAUGAUGCAUAGCCGAGUUGAGAGACUGAUCGGCCACAUUGGGACUGAGACACGGCCCAAACUCCUACGGGAGGCAGCAGCG
rnacentral:rRNA from 1 species